rnacentral:rRNA from 1 species
AUACGGAGGGUGCAAGCGUUACUCGGAAUCACUGGGCGUAAAGCGCGCGCAGGCGGCUUGAUAAGUUGGAUGUGAAAGCCUACGGCUCAACCGUAGAACUGCAUCCAAAACUAUUUAGCUAGAGUGUGGGAGAGGAAGAUGGAAUUAGUUGUGUAGGGGUAAAAUCCGUAGAGAUAACUAGGAAUACCAAAAGCGAAGGCAAUCUUCUGGAACGCUACUGACGCUGAGGCGCGAAAGCGUGGGGAGCAAACAGGAUUAGAAACCCCGGUAGUCC